rnacentral:rRNA from 1 species
UACGUAGGGGGCAAGCGUUAUCCGGAUUUACUGGGUGUAAAGGGAGCGUAGACGGCACUGCAAGUCUGGAGUGAAAGCCCGAGGCCCAACCACGGGACUGCUCUGGAAACUGCGGGGCUGGAGUGCAGGAGAGGUAGGUGGAAUUCUUGGUGUAGGGGUAAAAUCCGUAGAGAUCAAGAGGAAUACUCAUUGCGAAGGCGACCUGCUAGAACAUAACUGACGCUGAUGCGCGAAAGCGUGGGGAGCGAACAGG